GGGCCUGUAGCUCAGCUGGCAGAGCAUCGGACUUUUAAUCCGCGGGUCGCGGGUUCGAGCCCCGCCGGGCCCA
rnacentral:tRNA from 1 species